rnacentral:rRNA from 1 species
CCUACGGGAGGCAGCAGUGGGGGAUAUUGCACAAUGGGGGAAACCCUGAUGCAGCGACGCCGCGUGUGGGAAGACGGUCCUCUGGAUUGUAAACCACUGUCCCCAGGGACGAAGAUGACGGUACCUGGUGAGGAAGCUCCGGCAAACUACGUGCCAGCAGCCGCGGUAAUACGUAGGGAGCGAGCGUUGUCCGGAAUUACUGGGUGAAAAGGGAGCGUAGGCGGGACUGCAAGUUGGGUGUCAAAUCUACCGGCUCAACCGGUAGCCGCACUCAAAACUGCAGUUCUUGAGUGAAGUAGAGGCAGGCGGAAUGCCUAGUGUAGCGGUGAAAUGCGUAGAUAUUAGGAGGAACACCAGUGGCGAAGGCGGCCUGCUGGGCUUUUACUGACGCUGAGGCUCGAAAGUGUGGGGAGCAAACAGGAUUAGAUACCCGAGUAGUC